GACGGAAGGUGCAAGCGUUGCUCGGAAUCACUGGGCGUAAAGGGUGCGUAGGCGGCCGUGCAAGUCUGGCGUGAAAGCCCCGGGCUCAGCCCGGGAAGUGCGCUCGAAACUGCGCGGCUCGAGUGGCCGGAGGGGAGAGUGGAAUUCCUGGUGUAGCGGUGAAAUGCGUAGAUAUCUGGAGGAACACCGGUGGCGAAGGCGGCAUCCUGGACCAAUAUUGACGCUGAGGAGCGAAAGCCAGGGGAGCAAAGCGGG
rnacentral:rRNA from 1 species